rnacentral:rRNA from 1 species
CCAGACUCCUACGGGAGGCAGCAGUGGGGAAUAUUGCACAAUGGGCGCAAGCCUGAUGCAGCCAUGCCGCGUGUAUGAAGAAGGCCUUCGGGUUGUAAAGUACUUUCAGCGGGGAGGAAGGCGAUAAGGUUAAUAACCUUGUUGAUUGACGUUACCCGCAGAAGAAGCACCGGCUAACUCCGUGCCAGCAGCCGCGGUAAUACGGAGGGUGCAAGCGUUAAUCGGAAUUACUGGGCGUAAAGCGCACGCAGGCGGUCUGUCAAGUCGGAUGUGAAAACCCCGGGCUCAACCUGGGAACUGCAUUCGAAACUGGCAGGCUGGAGUGUUGUAGAGGGGGGUAGAAUUCCAGGUGUAGCGGUGAAAUGCGUAGAGAUCUGGAGGAAUACCGGUGGCGAGGGCGGCCCCCUGGACAAAGACUGACGCUCAGGGGCGAAAGCGUGGGGAGCAAACAGGAGUAGAGACCCCAGUAGG